UGGACUUGGGACCGUCCUAGGCUUAGGACUUAGGUUGCAUCGACAAUCAGUAGCAGUGGUUAAGGUGAAAAAAAGGAUGUUGAGGGCAAAGAAAAGAGCAAGAGAGGUUGAGUUCUUUGAAGCCAUUGGUAUUUUCUUUAGUGUUUUAAGGAUUAUUGAUUGAGUUUGAAGAGAGAGAUGAAAAGAAAUGAAGAGAAGAUGUGCUUAUUUAUAGGGUUUUAGAAUGACGUGAAGAGGAUCCAAAUUGUUUGACUUUAAUUAUUAUUUGAAUAUUUAUAAUUCUACAAAAUAUCUGAUUUUUUAUUUGCUCAUAUUCAAAAUCUGACUUUCUUUUCCCAUUCUGUAGAUACGUAGAACCUCAAAGUAAUUUGGAACAUAGUAAUGCAUGUAAAUUAAGAAAAUAUUUGAUUCGUGCAAUUUUUUUUUUGUCAAUGCUGUUAUUAUUACCUCCAUCAUCAGUUCAUGACCUCAUUGUACAUUUUUAUAGAUUCUCUUUCGCUCAUCCCGUAUAGCUAUUUUAGUUAUUUAAGAGGAGAUAAAAUCUCACCAUACAAAAUGGUAUAUAUAAUAAAUGAAUAUUUCGCCUUUAUGUAUCCUGUUAUGCAUAAUCUAUAAAAAAUGUACAUGAAUCAAAGUAUAUAAUCUAUAAAAAUGUAGUUGAAUCUACAUAAAAUUUAUUUUUAUUUCUUUGGUCUAAAACUACGGAUUGGGCAGAAAACAUUCUUGAUGGGACAAUUCAAUCCAGCAAGGAAUUAGGUGAGACUCUUCUGCCCAUUUGUUAAAAUUCUUUAGUUACUAUUCUUUGGAUCUGAGAUGUACAAGAGGAGAAAAUUAGGUUAUCCAAUGAACCCAAGACCCACUCUAUUGACCAUAUAAAAAAAUUCAAAAUAAUAUGAUCAUCUUAAAACAAAAAUUAAGAAAGUAGAUACAUCGAAAUCAAAUUACUACAAAAAGAAUCCAUAUUUUGCGGAAAUUUAUCGCAAAUGGAAAACUUCCGACUCACUUCCUACAAAAUUAAAUUCGUUAGCUGUAAAUUAUCCGUCAAGAAAAAAUUAUGAAAGUAGAUAGAUCGAAAUCAAAUAUCUACAAAAGGUAUUAUGUAUUUUCGACAACUGUAUAUGUCAAAAAUUUAUCGUAAAUAAAGUAAACUCUGACUAAUUUCUAACAAAAUUAAAUUAAUUAGAGUUUACUGAUCCAAAACUAACUAUGUCAGAAAUUUGUCGUAAAUUAUUGAUGAAAUUAUCAUCGAAAACUCGUAUGUCGUAAGAAUAUUAGUCAGAAACUUCCAACGACAUUCAUAUAGUUAAACCUGCAUUGAUAAAAACUGGACAUAUCUUUCAAACCGAAGAUGAAUUACUAUAAAUAUUUACAUCAUUUUUUUUUUAAUCUAAUAUUAAAUUAUAUUCAAAAGAAAAAUAACGUUUUUACAAUUAGUGCAACGGGAGUUUGAAGUCCUACACAAUACUAAACUUAAAAUUGAUAAUCAUGAUGAUGAGAUUAUGAUCGACUUUGAAGCCAAGCUUGAAAACAAGUCUCAUACCACCUAUCCUUUGACCUUUUGAUUGUUGUGAAUUGAUUGCGGACUUGUGAAUCAAUCCAUUUGAUUAAUUGGCUUGGAGAGUUUGAUGGUUUGCCAUGCCACCUUCCAUUUCUUUCCCUCCAAAUGGUAUAGAGCGUUACUUGAACGACGUAUUUGAGGAGGAAGAUGUCUACUCGACUAUGAUGAUGAGCUUCGACGUAGGAUAGAAUCGCGACCAAUCAGUAGAAAAAUGUGUUUUGAACACGCCUUUUGCAAGCACAGCCCAAACCUCCGAUGCAUAAGUGCAGGAGAAGAACAGGUGCCGCAUCAUUUUGUUUCUUGCUUAAUAUAUAUCUUUGGGUUGGUUUCUAGAGUUCUUCAUUAGUUUGACAAAUUUUAUGUUUCCGAUUUCUAAAUCCAUCUAGACAAAAUUACUAUUGUAAUUUUACUUUAAUGAUUUUAAAUAAGAAACAAAGAUUUAUUUGAAAAAUAUAUGACAAAUUAUUAUUGACGAAUUCUCAAUACUACACACACACAUGGGAUAAUUAGAUAAUUUAGUUUUAAGAAUUAAAAAAAAUCGUGUAAAAGUAUUUCUAAAAAAAUAAUUAUGGCCUUGAUUUAUCUUACGUAGGAAUUUUACUUAACAACACUUGUUAAACAUGUUUACGUGAACACAUGCAUUAGGGGUAUACCUAUUAGUUUUGCAAUUCUUUUUUAUUUGGAGUUUUAGAUAUUUCAUCAUUCAAGUACUUUGACAAAAAAAAAAAAAAGUCAUCAUUCAAGUACAGUUACAUCUUUUUUUCCUUUUUAAUCAAAAAUUACAGUUACGUCUUAUAAAAAGAAUUCCAGGGUUAAACUUACACUAGUUGGAUAUAGAUUGUUGCUCUUUAGAAAAAAAAAAGAAGAAAUACAAAUACGAUUCUUUGAGAAUAAAAGUGGAAACAAGAAGCUUAUUAUUACUUUAAAUAUCAGAUUGAACAAAUUGAUAAAAAUGGAUACAGUACGAGAAGUAUAAGAAACACUUAACUGAAAAUAGGAGAAUUCAAAGAAUCUUAAUCAAGGAAAAACAUCAAAAGAUAACUUAAACAUUAUAAUCAAUCGAAGGGUGGAUAGAUAUAUCAAGCACAUACGAAACCAGAAGGAACCUUCUUGCCACAAACAUUGAGAAGAAGGCUGAGAGAGACGGGAACAUUAAGAUUAAUGCCUAAAACUUUAGCCUUUAGGGCGGUGCAGAGACAAGCGGCAGCCUCAAGAUCAACUAAACCAUUGAGGAGCGAACAACAAGGCUUCACUGGUGGUGUUCCCAACUGAAUUUUGAGAAGAUCCUUGAGAACAUUGGCGCAAACGCCGAGCUUGAGAGUGUCUUUAGGGCAGCUUCCGGUGGACUUGGGCUUAGGUUUGGGUUUAGGGGUGGAACUGCAGCCACCGCCACAUGCGGUGGUUAAAGUGAAAAAAAGAAUGUUGAAUGUGAGGAAAAUGACAAGAGAGGCUGAAAUUUUUGAAGCCAUUUCUCAAAAAAUCAAAUUUCUAUUUUAGGUAAGAAGUUUUAAGAUAGAAGUAUUGCCAAAAGAGAGUGGUGAAGAUAAAUGAAGAGAGGGUGUACGUAUAUAUAUUAGGGCUUCAAGGGGUUGGACAGUUAAUUAAAGCUGUCAUUACUGUAUAAUUUUGAAGAAUUAUUAGACAAAUUUAUAUUUUAGUAAGUGGAUCUUUGUAUUAUUAAGUGGUUAAGAUAUACUUUAUUUUUUUUUAUUGCAUUAUGAAACAAAUGUUAAAUCAUGGAUAGAUGACCCUGUUGGGCAGUCAUCGUUUUUUUCUUUUUCAAAACUUUUAUUAGUUUAGUAGUUAGAAAGUUUUUCGUUAGUCAUCUAUACAAAAAGAAGAAACAAUACAUGUUUUUUUUUCCUGGCUAAAUAUAAUAGAUGGUUUUUAACUUUAACCAAUCCAUCUUUUAUUUAUGGGCCAUAUAUAUAUAUAUAUGAAAACUGAAAAUAACGUUUUGAUGUGAAAUAUACCAAAUAUACUUAUUUAGUGCAGAGUUAACAUGAGAUAAUAUGUAUUUCUCUUUAGUUAAUAAAUGAUACUAGUUAUUUAGUACGGAGUUAACAUGAGCUAAUAUGUAUUUCUCUUUAUUUAAUCAAUGAUACUAGUUUUAUUGUAAAGUAGAUGCAUUUACAAAUAAAAGUAUUGCUCAAAUAUUUCAAUAAUGACUUUUAAUACAGUAUAUGCAUUUUCAACUGUGAACACUUUGAAAAAUAAUGGAUUUUACAUUCCGUUCGACUUUAUGUUUUCUUAAGUUGAUUCAUAUUAUAUUGGUUUUGACGUUCGACUUUAUGUUUUCUUAAGUUGAUUCAUAUUAUUUUGGGUUUGAUCUAUUUUAAAUCCAAAAAAUUACAUUUUCUUAUUUGAUUUCUUAAAAUAUUUAACUUGUUCGAGCGUCUAUUAAUUUUUUAUGUGAGUUGAUUUAAUAUUAAUUUAGAAUAAUUUGUUCUAAAACAGUCGACAAUGCUUUUCGUAGGUAAAAUUUGUAUAACAGCUGAAUUAUUUAGAAUAUUCGCUUAAAUUCAUAAUCAUCGGCUGUAUUUUCUUAUUUCAAUCUAUCUUUUGUUUUUUUUUUAUUUUAUGAACCUUAAUUAUUAAUUUUCCGUUAAAUUAAUUGUAAUGUAAUUUGUAGACUCAUAUUUAAAUUAGUCCAUGUAAUAUAUACAUUAUUUUGGUCAAAAACAAAAACACGUAGGUACACGAUUAGGUCGACGUGUUAGUUUAUUCGACUGAAAACAACUAUAUACUUAUCUUAUUCGAAAAAUUAUAGAACAAAAUAAACUAUAAUCGACGCACAUGUAUUCAAUAAUUACUCAUACUUCCCAUGUGUUGUGUAGCCCAGAAUGUAAAUAAUAGGCAUGUGUUUGGAGAUUAGUAAUUUGGAAGUUUAUUGGCUUUAAUUACCCUUCACAUUUUAUUUUUGGGAAAUUAAAAACAACUAUAAUUCAUCAAAUAACAACAAUAUUAUUCUUUUUUUUUUGUCAUCAACAAUAUUAUGCUUAUCUUAUGACAAAUAUAGCUUUGGGUUCUUGGACACUAACUUCAGGUUUCAAUCAACAUGGAGUAAACCAUUAAUCAUAUUCUAAUUAACUGUUCGCAUUUUAUUAACCCUUGGUAGUUUCUCGACGCGCUAAGUUUACAAAAUAUGGAUUUCUUCUAUUGGCGAACUCCGUCUCCGCUAAAAAAUAAAAAAGGAUACUACAGUUUUCAACGAAUUACAUAGUUUCUAUGGAAAAGUUUUUAAAAAUAAAAUAAAUAAACAAAUUUUACCAAAGAAUUAUACUGGAACCCUCAGAUUUUUUAAAUCAUGUUAUUAGCGAUCAUUUAGUUUGGGUGGCAGCUCAAAUCAGCCCAACUAAGGAUGUCAAGGAAUUAUUGUUCUUUAAGAUGUCAAGGUGAUGGUUCGUGGAAAUUAUAAUGCCUCGGCCGUAAUCGUCUGCGGCCCCACGUUUUAUUUUGGCAAGUAGAUUCGACCCCGUCCGAGACUAUUUUGGGAGGCUCGAAAGAAUUGUUUAUUGUCCUUACUUAUCGCCACUAAAUAUUUGUUGUGUUUUUUCUUCAUUAACACGGUACCCAAAAUUAAUUUCAGGCAGGUCGAACCAUCAUGAAAUAUAUAUAGUUCAAACACGUUUCACUCUACCAAAUCAAUUUUAAGUCUCUUUGUAUGCAUCACCAAAUUGUUUUUUAGAAAAGAGUUGUGUUAAAACCUCCUCACUAGCUCACAGAUCACAUUAUUGUGUAUCAAGACGGUUACUCCAACAGUGAAUUAGUGUACGUGUCUCCACACUCGUCCGGUUCGGCUCUAAUACUAGUUGUUACGCUUUCCAUGCCCUCUCUCACCAUGUGGAUUCCAUUCUUGUCCAACAGAUGGUAUGUAUAUUUGGGAGACAUUGAAAGACAUGUUUAAUGUUCCUCCUUACUCAUAUGGUAUUUAUUAUUUAACAUUGUUUUCAUUUGGUCACAUAUCCUAAAUAUCGCAAUAGUUCCAUUACGCUUAACUAUAAAAUUUUAUCGAAACGAUUAACGGAAAAUAUGCGUAUAUUUUUGUGACAUAGAUAAUCAAUCAAUUAUUUUAAACUUCUUUGAAUGUAUCUUAAUAUUUUUAAAUUCGAGGGAUUACAUUAAUCUUCUUACCCCAAAUCUGGUUUUGGAUGGAUGGAGAACUAUAAAACUUUGAACAGUUUGAGAAAUCAUAGUUUGCAUUUCAAAUAAAUGGACUGAUUAAGUUAUAUACUUGUCCCUUGUCAUUUUCGUUUUGAGAUUUGAUAUAAGUAUUUAAGGAACAUGUUUGAAUUAUUUAUUUUUUGUCAAUUAAUUUUGAAUUGAAAUUCUGGGUACAGUAUAGAGUCUAAUUGAAAAUUCAUGAUUCUUGAUACGGUAUUAGAGUCUUAACAAGCCAAAUAGAUAAAAUUGGUUCGAACAGAUGAUUAAGUUCGGUAUUAGAUGAAUGAGCCAAAGAACCAUCUUCUCGAAAUGAUAUGUUAAAAAUCCACUAGUAGAUAAAGAUUAAUAUUAGUAAUUUCAACUAUUACCGAUUUGUUUUUAUUUAGAUCUUCAGGUAUUUCUCAUUGUCUAUUUUUAUGUAUCAAAUACAAUUCUUAUAUUUUUUCCAUCAUUUGAGUAUUGUUAAUUAUUAUAAAAUAAUUCCAGGGCUACACUUUUCUAGUAUGUAUAUUUCAAUCGAUAGAUCAGGUAGACAAAGAUUCUUGCUCUUUCAACCGUUAAAAUAAUAUAAGUAAAAUUAAUGUUAGAAGAAAAGUCGAAAGAAGAAGCAGAUUAUAAUCACUUUAACAAUCUUAUUUCUGAGCAAUUUAAUUUAAAAUGUAAACAGUACAAGAAGUAGAAACAACACUGAAAAUGGGAAAAUUCAAAGAAUAUUAAUCAAAGAAAAACAUGGAAAGAAAAUUUAAAACAUUAUAACCAAUCGAAGAGUGGAUAGAUAUAUCAAGCACAUACGAAGCCGGAAGGAACCUUCUUGCCACAAACAUUGAGAAGAAGGCUGAGAGAGACGGGAACAUUAAGAUUAAUGCCUAAAACUUUAGCCUUUAGGGCGGUGCAGAGACAAGCGGCAGCCUCAAGAUCAACUAAACCAUUGAGGAGCGAACAACAAGGCUUCACUGGUGGUGUUCCCAACUGAAUUUUGAGAAGAUCCUUGAGAACAUUGGCGCAAACGCCGAGCUUGAGAGUGUCUUUAGGGCAGCUUCCGGUGGACUUGGGCUUAGGUUUGGGUUUAGGGGUGGAACUGCAGCCACCGCCACAUGCGGUGGUUAAAGUGAAAAAAAGAAUGUUGAAUGUGAGGAAAAUGACAAGAGAGGCUGAAAUUUUUGAAGCCAUUUCUCAAAAAAUCAAAUUUCUAUUUUAGGUAAGAAGUUUUAAGAUAGAAGUAUUGCCAAAAGAGAGUGGU
rnacentral:lncRNA from 1 species